GAUGAACGCUGGCGGCGUGCCUAAUACAUGCAAGUCGAGCGAACAGAUGAGGCGCUUGCUCCUCUGACGUUAGGGGCGGACGGGUGAGUAACACGUGGAUACCCUCCCUAUAAGUCUGGGAUAACUUCGGGAACCCGGAGCUAAUCCCGGAUAAUAUAUUGAACCGCAUGGUUCAAUAGUGAAAGACGGUUUUGCUGUCACUUAUAGAUGGAUCCGCGCCGUAUUAGCUAGUUGGUAAGGUAACGGCUUACCAAGGCAACGAUGCGUAGCCGACGUGAUAGGCGGAUCGGCCACACUAGAACGGAGACACCGUCCAGACUCCUACGGGAGGCAGCAGUAGGGAAUCUUCCGCAGUGGGCGAAAGCCUGACGGAGCAACGCCGCGUCAGUUAUGAAGGUCUUCGGAUCGUAAAACUCUGUUAUUAGGGAAGAACAAAUGUGUAAGUAACUAUGCACGUCGUGACGGUACCUAAUCAGAAAGCCCCGGCUAACUACGUG
rnacentral:rRNA from 1 species